GUCUUGCCUGUAUAUGUAAUAGAGCAAAAGGGACUAGGUUUUUUCUCUGGUGGCGGGAGACUACUUUCAAGGUUUUCUUAUGCAGUUAUUUCGUAGCAGGUUAAAAAUCAUGAAUAACAAAGAACUUACCUAAAGGACCUAAACGAUAGUUAAUUGUAACUAAUACUACGUCUUCUCUUAAUAGAUAGUCAGGACCAUAUAAUUUCAGUGUAUUUGAGCCUUUCGUGAAGCCACCCCCAUGUAUCCAAAACAUUACAGGCCUCAAUUUUGAACUUGAAA